AGUGGCGGACGGGUGAGUUACGCGUGGGCAACCUGCCUCGUACAGGGGGACAACAGUUGGAAACGACUGCUAAUACCGCAUAAGCGCACAGUACCGCAUGGUACAGUGUGAAAAACUCCGGUGGUAUGAGAUGGACCCGCGUCUGAUUAGCUAGUUGGUGAGGUAACGGCUCACCAAGGCAACGAUCAGUAGCCGGCCUGAGAGGGUGAACGGCCACAUUGGGACUGAGACACGGCCCAAACUCCUACGGGAGGCAGCAGUGGGGAAUAUUGCACAAUGGGGGAAACCCUGAUGCAGCGACGCCGCGUGAGUGAAGAAGUAUUUCGGUAUGUAAAGCUCUAUCAGCAGGGAAGAAGAAUGACGGUACCUGACUAAGAAGCCCCGGCUAACUACGUGCCAGCAGCCGCGGUAAUACGUAGGGGGCAAGCGUUAUCCGGAUUUACUGGGUGUAAAGGGAGCGUAGACGGUAAUGCAAGUCUGAAGUGAAAGGCUGGGGCUCAACCCCAGGACUGCUUUGGAAACUGUAUAACUAGAGUACAGGAGAGGUAAGUGGAAUUCCUAGUGUAGCGGUGAAAUGCGUAGAUAUUAGGAGGAACACCAGUGGCGAAGGCGGCUUGCUGGACGACAACUGACGCUGAGGCGCGAAAGCGUGGGGAGCAAACAGGAUUAGAUACCCUGGUAGUCCACGCUGUAAACGAUGAAUACUAGGUGUGGGAGGACUGACCCCUUCCGUGCCGCAGUUAACACAAUAAGUAUUCCACCUGGGGAGUACGACCGCAAGGUUGAAACUCAAAGGAAUUGACGGGGGCCCGCACAAGCAGUGGAGUAUGUGGUUUAAUUCGACGCAACGCGAAGAACCUUACCAGGACUUGACAUCCAACUAACGAAGUAGAGAUACAUUAGGUGCCCUUCGGGGAAAGUUGAGACAGGUGGUGCAUGGUUGUCGUCAGCUCGUGUCGUGAGAUGUUGGGUUAAGUCCCGCAACGAGCGCAACCCCUAUUGUUAGUUGCUACGUAAGAGCACUCUAGCGAGACUGCCGUUGACAAAACGGAGGAAGGCGGGGACGACGUCAAAUCAUCAUGCCCCUUAUGUCCUGGGCUACACACGUAAUACAAUGGCCGUCAACAAAGGGAAGCAAUAUCGCAAAAUGGAGCAAAUCCCCAAAAACGGUCUCAGUUCGGAUUGCAGGCUGCAACUCGCCUGUAUGAAGCUGGAAUAAAUAGUAAUCGCGGAUCAGCAUGCCGCGGUGAAUA
rnacentral:rRNA from 1 species